AGUGAACGCUGGCGGUAGGCCUAACACAUGCAAGUCGAACGGCAGCACAGUAAGAGCUUGCUCCUACGGGUGGCGAGUGGCGGACGGGUGAGGAAUACAUCGGAAUCUACUUUUUCUGGGGGGAUAACGUAGGGAAACUUACGCUAAUACCGCAUACGACCUACGGGUGGAAGCAGGGGAUCUUCGGACCUUGCGUGAUUCUAUGAGCCGAUGUCGGAUUAGCUAGUUGGCGGGGUAAAGGCCCACCAAGGCGACGAUCCGUAGCUGGUCUGAGAGGAUGAUCAGCCACACUGGAACUGAGACACGGUCCAGACUCCUACGGGAGGCAGCAGUGGGGAAUAUUGGACAAUGGGCGCAAGCCUGAUCCAGCCAUGCCGCGUGGGUGAAGAAGGCCUUCGGAUUGUAAAGCCCUUUUGUUGGGAAAGAAAAGCAGCAGGUUAAUACCCCGCUGUUCUGACGGUACCCAAAGAAUAAGCACCGGCUAACUUCGUG
rnacentral:rRNA from 1 species